AUUGAACGCUGGCGGCAUGCCUUACACAUGCAAGUCGAACGGCAGCACGGGAGCAAUCCUGGUGGCGAGUGGCGAACGGGUGAGUAAAGUAUCAGAACGUGCCCAGUCGUGGGGGAUAACGUAGCGAAAGUUACGCUAAUACCGCAUACGAUCUAUGGAUGAAAGCGGGGGAUCGCAAGACCUCGCGCGAUUGGAGCGGCCGAUAUCAGAUUAGGUAGUUGGUGGGGUAAAGGCUCACCAAGCCGACGAGCUGUAGCUGGUCUGAGAGGACGACCAGCCACACUGGGACUGAGACACGGCCCGGGCUCCUAAGGGAGGCAGCAGUGGGGAAUUUUGGACAGUGGGCGAAAGCCUGAUCCAGUCAUGCCGCGUGCAUGAUGAAGGCCUUCGGGUUGUAAACUGCUUUUGUACGGAACGAAAAGGUUUGGCCUAAUAAGCUGAGCUCAUGACGGUACCGUAAGAAUAAGCACCGGCUAACUACGUGCCAGCCGCCGCAGUAA
rnacentral:rRNA from 1 species